AGAGCGAACGCUGGCGGCGUGCUUAACACAUGCAAGUCGAACGCGCAGCAUUCUGUAGCAAUACAGGGUGUGGGCGCGUGGCGAACGGGUGCGUAACACGUGGAUAACCUUCCUUGAGGUGGGGAAUAACCCAGUGAAAAUUGGGCUAAUACCGCAUAACAUCGCGAUGGCACAUGCUGAUGCGAUCAAAGGCGCAAGUCGCCACAAGAGGGAUCCGCGGCCGAUUAGCUUGUUGGCGAGGUAAUGGCUCACCAAGGCAAUGAUCGGUA
rnacentral:rRNA from 1 species